CCUCCUAACAGCCUCCAGCCCUUUGAACAGCACUCAGCAGUCACACUGACUAACACCAUCGGUAGCAGCUUUCCUCCCAAACUCGCUGGCAGCGGCCCAGGGAUCUCCCCUCCCAGGCGUGCUGCCACCAAGCGAGGCCAGCUGGCGGCCGCCGGCCACACUGCUUCCCUUCUGUCGCACCUCCCUUCUGCUACUCACUGUUCCACCCUUCAGUGCUCGGGAACAGAAAUGACUCCUUUCUCCCUCUCCUCCCAAGUUACCAAGUAACUUGUGCUUGCCACGUCUCACCAGGGCAAGGGCUUGCCCCAUUCCCCAGCCUUCACAAAAUGCAGGCAGUGGCUCGGCUUGGGAAGGAAGCCCUGCAUCCACAGCAGCAGCAGACAUUAACUUUGUCCUUGAAUCUCAGAGCCAACUCAGGAUCCUCUGGAUGAACGAUCAGUCAAGGCUGGACCUCUGGCUACUCUUCUGUGCCACUUCAAGUUACUUAAAACUUCUUGCAGUCAUUGCAGAUGAAGCAGUUCAGAUGGGAUUUGCAAGGAAUCUUCUACCCACAGCAGGAAGUGGAGACAAAAGCAGCAACAAGCAGAGACAGUUUGGAUAGAAAAAGCUGAUGUAGUAAGAAAGGACUUUAGAUGAUGGACGGUGGGAGGGAGGGAGGGGAAGGCAAUUACCAUAAUUGGUAUUUUGGAAGCCAUAGCCCAUAAUGGGAAACAAUGAAGUUUCAUCCUGUAAAGUUCAACAUACCACUGAGUCCCAAUGUGUUCCAGAUUUAUUAGUGGUUAAGAGUAGAUGCUUUUAAAAAAACACAGGAAUUCCAGUAAAUGAAUUCAAGACAGUAAUAAAGACAGAGAAAAUGAUAUACACCAGUAUUAUAUGAAAUACAGUAUGUGAAAUGAAAGUGAGGCUCAGGGGAACACCUUGAGAAAAAUGGUUGUAGAAAUGUUUCUGAACUUCUGCUGACAUGAAUGAGAACAGUUUCAGAUACUCAGUGGUUCCCAAAAUAGGGCUUGUAACCCAGUGCCUUCUCUUCCUGGGUUCAUUACGGUAAAACAGCUUUUUAAUUAUCCAGAUUUAAAUAAUCCUGAACUAUUUUGUACCUAAAACUUGAAAUGUAAAACAGCUUUUUAAUUAUCCAGAUU
rnacentral:lncRNA from 12 species